rnacentral:rRNA from 1 species
UACGUAGGUGGCGAGCGUUAUCCGGAAUUAUUGGGCGUAAAGAGCGCGCAGGUGGUUGAUUAAGACUGAUGUGAAAGCCCACGGCUUAACCGUGGAGGGUCAUUGGAAACUGGUCGACUUGAGUGCAGAAGAGGAGAGCGGAAUUCCACGUGUAGCGGUGAAAUGCGUAGAGAUGUGGAGGAACACCAGUGGCGAAGGCGGCUCUCUGGUCUGUAACUGACGCUGAGGCGCGAAAGCGUGGGGAGCGAACAGGAUUAGA